GCAAGUCUGGUGCCAGCAGCCGCGGUAAUUCCAGCUCCAAUAGCGUAUAUUAAAGUUGUUGAGGUUAAAAAGCUCGUAGUUGAACCUUGGGCCUGGCUGGCCGGUCCGCCUCACCGCGUGCACUGGUCCGGCCGGGCCUUUCCUCCUGGGGAGCCGCAUGCCCUUCACUGGGUGUGUCGAGGAUCCAGGACUUUUACUUUGAAAAAAUUAGAGUGUUCAAAGCAGGCCUAUGCUCGAAUACAUUAGCAUGGAAUAAUAGAAUAGGACGUGUGGUUCUAUUUUGUUGGUUUCUAGGACCGCCGUAAUGAUUAAUAGGGAUAGUCGGGGGCAUCAGUAUUCAAUUGUCAGAGGUGAAAUUCUUGGAUUUAUUGAAGACUAACUACUGCGAAAGCAUUUGCCAA
rnacentral:rRNA from 1 species